rnacentral:sRNA from 1 species
GUCAAUAACCCGUGGAUAAAUCCACAGGCUUGAAAAAAGCCUUUGUUGACUAGCCUGAGUACCCUUGCAGUGCCAUAUGCGUUAAGGGUACUACGUUAUCUCUGUCAUCACACCUUCGGACAUAACACCAAAUCUGAAGCUCUGU